rnacentral:rRNA from 1 species
GGCCUUUAGAGUAUAAUUUAAGGUCUGACCUGCCCACUGAAAAUUAAAGGGCCGCGGUAUCUUGACCGUGCAAAGGUAGCAUAAUCAUUAGUUUCUUAAUUAGAAGCUGGAAUGAAUGGUUUUAUGAAAAAAUAGCUGUCUCAAUUUUAAUAAAAAUGAAUUUUAUUUUUAAGUUAAAAAGCUUAAAUAUAAUUGAAAGACGAGAAGACCCUAUAGAUUUUUAUAAAUAUGUAUUUUUAUAUUUUUGGCAUUUAAAUUAUAAAAAUAAAUAUUUAUUUAGUUGGGGUGAUUGAAAAAUUUAAUAAACUUUUUUUUAUAGAAGACAUAAAUUUAUGAGUGUAUGAUCCAGUUUUAUUGAUUAUAAGAUUAAAUUACCUUAGGGAUAACAGCGUUAUUCUAUAUGAGAGCUCUAAUCGAAUAUAGAGAUUGCGACCUCGAUGUUGGAUUAAAAUUAAUUUUUGGUGGAGAAGCUGAAAUAUUAGGUCUGUUCGACCUUUAAAAUUUUACAUGA